AAAUAAAGAUGACGUCACAUGUCCACCAGGUGGCAGCACAGGAUUAGCACCGUUUGCUCCACUGAUUCCAGCUUCCUGUUUUCACAGAGCUGUGGAUUUGAAGGUGAAAUGUAAGUGGACCUGAAGCUGACCUGCACAAACCCAGUCUUAGGCCAAACUGAUGAACUUAGUUGGAGUAGGAAGGACUGAGCUGACGAAUGAGGUGAGGAAGAUGAGAUGAGGAAGAUGAGAUAAGGAAGAUGAGAUGAGGAAGAUGAGAUGAGGAAGAUGAGAUGAGGAAGAUGAUGGCUGCCCGAGGAAGAUGGUUUCCAGGUGUGACAGUGGAACAAAGCCAAAACCAACUUCUGGCUUUUAAUGUGAGAAGCCCAGGAUGCUCAGCUUCAUGAGUGAAGUAGAAGCCGACGCUGUCGUUUCUCAGGAAGCAUCACAGGAAGCCACUGCCCAUGGGGGCGCGGAUCCCGGCCCGGCGUCGUCCACCCAGAACCAGAGGAAUGCAGCUCUUUGUCAGAGUCAACAGCGUCCGUCUCUGCUCAAACACCUGAAGACUGGUCAUCGCCUUGUCUUCAGCAGGAAGCAGCGCUGCCCAGCGUCUUCCACCAGGACGUCUUCACCUUAAAAACGCAGAGGCAGCGACGACUGCCGAGGAGCUGGCUGUGCUUUCAGUUACUAUGGCAACAAGCCACGGCGGUGUGUGUGUGUGUGUGUGUGUGUGUGUGUGUGUGUGUGUGUGUGUGUGUGUGUGUGUGUGUGUGUGUGUGUGUGUGUGUGUGUGUGUGUGUGUGCCGCUGUUUGUGACAAUAACAGGACACCUGUCGAAAAAUUAGCCCCAAAUCUCAUUAAUCUCCCAAACAGACGGGGAGUGUUCAAAGUGGCGGCUCUGGGAGGGAGCCUCGACAUGGCACAGGAAGCGGGGCUCGCACGCCUUCAAAGCCUCAGCAGAUCUGACGCGGAGCAUGGCGCCGCUUAGCAGUCUGUCACUUCAAACCGGCCCCAAGCUCAGAUAUGUCUUCAAAGUGCCCCCCUCCAGUAACGCU
rnacentral:lncRNA from 1 species